rnacentral:lncRNA from 1 species
GCCUCGCAACUUUGUAGUACUCAACUAAAACACAUUUACAGAGAGAAUCAAACUUGAAAAUGUUAAUUCUAAAGGGAAAAGUCAUAGUUUUGACUAUAAACUAUAGUCGAAAAGUCGAAGUCAUACAUAAACUAUUAGAGUGACCUAAUACACACUUAUACUAUUUAAAAGUGAAUUUUAUUUCCACCCUAAUGCACACAGAACCAGCCACACAAUGGAAGGUGUUACACACUCGCGAACAUGUCAUCAAGUCACUGCCACGUUAGUUUUUACAUCAGAUUUCCAAAGAAAAAUUCCAAGUCACCUCAAUUGCUUUUUCUUCCCUGUCCAUCAUCAAAACCCACCAUUAAACCACCACCAUUGCCGCAUCGUCACCAAACUCAUAUCAUCGUCACCAUAGAUUUCACCACCAACAACAGCCAAAUUCACCAUUGUAAUCACCCCACCGCCACUGCUACCAUAAAAAUUUAUAAGUCAGAAUCAUAUCACCAUCAUUAUUACCACUAAAAAUUUCAAAGAGCCACCACAAAAUUCAAAACCCAUAAUCAAAGUCGAAAUUAUAUCACCACCAUUGUUACCACAAAAAGUUUCAAAGAGCCACCACAAAAUUCAACACUCAUAACCAAACUCAUCAUCAAAAUCAUAUCACAAUCAUUUUCAUCAUCAAAAAUUACAAAGAGUCACUGCACAAAUUCAACACCCGCUAUUGAAUUCACCACCACCAACAACAACCAAAUUCACCAUUGGAAUCACCCCACCACCACUGCUACUAUAAAAAUUUAUAAGUCGGAAUCAUAUCACCACCAUUGUUACCACUAAAACUUUCAAAUAGCCACACAAAAUUCAACACCCAUAAUUAAAGUUGGAAUCAUAUCACCACCAUUGUUACCACAAAAAAUCUUAAAGAGCCACCACAAAAUUCAACACCCAUAACCAAACUCAUCAUCAAAAUCAUAUCACAAUCAUUUUCAUCAUCAAAAAUUACAAAGAGUCACCGCACAAAUUCAACACCCGCUAUUGAAUUUACAUCAAAAUCACACCACAUCAAUAGAUUGUAAUAUUUAUCAAAAUUAAACCACCAUACACUGUCAAUAUUGAAAUUCGCAACAAUAAUCAUAACAAAAUUUUAUUUUCACCCCAAAUUGCUUUGCUAAAUCAUUCACCACCAGAUCCAUCAUCGUUGUCACCAUCGAAAAUAAUCACACCCAUAAACGUAAACCCAACAUUCAUCACCAAAAUUGACAAUAACUUCAUUGUCAAUCAUAAAAAAUAAAAGACAUACCACCAUCAAUUUUAUCAACCAAUCAUAAAUUCUUCAAUAUUGUGAAUUUCAUUCAAGCUCGGAACGGAGAAUGGUGAAAAUAAAAGGUUGAUCAGUGAAAGAAAUGAAGUGGGUUUGAUAAAAAAAAAUAGUUAGAGAAGAGAAGAUUAAUGUCAUAAAGAAGAAAAAAAGAAAUAGGAAAAGUUGUCC